rnacentral:rRNA from 1 species
CGGGAAGAGCUCAAAUUUGUAAUCUGGCACUUUCAGUGUCCGAGUUGUAAUCUCGAGAAGUAUUUUCCGCGCCGGACCGCAUACAAGUCUGUUGGAAUACAGCGUCAUAGUGGUGAGAACCCCGUAACUGAUGCGGAUGCCCGGUGCUUUGUGAUAUACUUUCGAAGAGUCGAGUUGUUUGGGAAUGCAGCUCAAAUUGGGUGGUAAAUUCCAUCUAAAGCUAAAUAUUGGAGCAAGACCGAUAGCGAACAAGUACCGUGAGGGAAAGAUGAAAAGCACUUUGGAAAGAGAGUUAACAGUACGUGAAAUUGUUGGAAGGGAAACGCUUGAAGUCAGACUUGCUAUUCGGAGUUCAGCCGCAAGGUGUAUUCUUCGAUUCGCAGGCCAGCAUCAGUUUUCGGGGGUGGAAAAUCGCGGUUUGAAGGUAGCAACUUCGGUUGUGUUAUAGCU